AUGAGAUCUGAUGGUUUUAUAAGGGGUUUCCCGUUUUGCUUGGCUCUCGUUCUGUCUUGCCUGUCGCCAUGUAAGAUGUGCCUUUCGGCUUCUGCCAUGAUUGUGAGGCCUCCCCAGCCAUGUGGAACUUCUUUCUCUGUUGCCAAGGCUGGAGUGUAAUGGCGCGAUCUUGGCUCACUGCAACCUCUGCCUCCCAGGUUCAAGUGAUUCUCCUGCCUCAGCUUGCUGAGUAGCUGGGACUACAGGAAUGACCUUUACACAAGAGUCCAAACAAGGGUGUCACCUGGGGAAGUAAAAGCUGCCUGUGACUCAGAGGAAGAGCUUCAGGUAAUACAAACACUGUCAUCUGUGCUUUACCCCUCCUCCUAAAUGCCUGAUUUAGCCCUCACAGUGACUGUGUGCUUGGAAAUAUUUCCAUUAUUUUUAGAGUGGGUGGACCUUCAAGGAUGUUAAGUAACUUGUCCAAAGUCACAGGGUCAGUCACUGUUUUAAGAGUUUGCUAGGAAAUCCUUGGAAACCUCUGCUUCUGCUGUCCUUUUGUCAGGUGGUAAUCAUUCCUUCAUCUGUGAAAAAAAUAUGAGCUUGAUAAAAUUGCUACCAGGAGAGCAUGUGCCACCAAGAUUGGCUUUGAUUCUCCAGGGAUACCCUGUAUGUAUCAAUAAGAGGAGGAGAUAAAGGCCGGGCGUGUUCAACAAAAAUGUUUCUAUUUUGCUCUAUGUCAUGAUAAAUUACGCUUGCUGGCUGCAUCGAAUAUUUCUGUUGAAGAAGAAAGAACACCCCACUCUCAGCAUCCAAAUUGAGAAAAGGAUAGCUGUUCUUAGAUGUCAUCACUGCCAAUCUGCCCUGAAAUAAAAGAGAGUCCAUUUCCGCUGUGUUCCAAGGAAGCAGUGAGCCCUAGAACGUGGCAGGUCUCUCUUUCUGCCCCUCCUCAUCGAGGGAAAGGGAGAACUACUGAAACAAAAAGAAGGAAACCUCACAAGCAGAGGGCUGAGAAACCUAGGCAGAUAACAUCUCCUUAUUUCUUAACACUCUCUUAGAAAAUUAAAAGGACUUUGUAGAAAAUCCUUUUGACUGAUGGAGUAGCUCCAAGGAACAGAGAAAGAUUAACAAGAUGAAAGACCAGGAGCCAGAGGACCCAGACACUUCGAGGGCAACAUCUUCCUUUUGUUGGAAAUAAUUAAGUGGUUCCUCUUAUCAGGUCAUGAGUGAGGUAUUGAACACUCUAGCAGUAAUCUGCACAGACCUCCAUUCUUCCAGACCUCCCUGCCAACAAUUCCGUAAGCACUCAGUUCCAAUAAAAUCCUUUAUCUGUUUAAAAUGCCUAGAAAAAUUUCUAUUUUCCUGACCGGCUUUGAAUGAUACAAACAGAAAAUGUGGUGCCGGGUCCUGCAACCAUCAUCUUGCAGACAAUCCUUUCACAAUAUUCCAACAUGCUGAGGAUUCCGAGACAGAAAGACAACAGAUUCUCAGACGAUGUCAUUGAGCCACUGCCCCAGAUCCCGACAGCAUCGCGUUUUCACUGCUUUUUAGGCACCUGACUGAGGAGGUCAAAGAGACACAAGAGUGUGGAGUUCAUGAAGUGGUUGUGCUGGGUACAGAGCCUGGAAUGAGGAAAAACCAGCAAAGGAGACACAAUGAAUAGAUAAUGAUAUACUGCAUUUUUUACAGAUCGAAGGUUUGUACCAACCGUUCCUUGAGCAAGUCUAUCAGCAUCAUUUUUCCAACAGCAUGAGCUCACUUUGUGUCUCUCUGUCAAAUUAUGGUAAUUCUCACAUUAUUUUUAUUAUUAUUAUACUAUUCAUUAUUAUUAUACUAUUUUUAAUAUUAUACUUUAAUAUUAAACUUUUCAUUAUUAUUAUACUAUUUUUAAUUAUUAUUGUCAUGGUGAUCUGUGAUUAGUGAUCUUUGAUGCUACUAUUGUAAUUGUUUUGGAGUACCCCAAACUGUGCCCAUAUAAGAUGAUGAACCUAAUUGAUAAAUGUAUGUGUUCUGACUGCUCUACUGAACCCUACACCCCGUCUCUCCCUUUUCUUCAGCCUCCCUACCCCCUGAGACACAAGGAUAUUGAAGUUAGGCCAGUUAGUAACCCUACAGAGGUCUCUAAGUGUUCAAGUAAAAGGGAGAGUCACAUAUGUCUCACUUUAAAUCAAAAGCUAGAAAUGAUUAAGCCUAGUGAGGAAGGAAUGGCCGAAAUCCCAGACAAGCUGAAGGCUGGACCUCUUGUGCCAGUUAGCCAAGUUAUAAAUGCAAAGGAAAAGUUCUUGAAGGAAAGUAAAUGUGCUACUAUAGUGAACACAUGAAUGAUAGGAAAGCAAAGCAGCCUUGAUGCUGUUAUGGAAAAUGUUUUAUUUAGUGGCCUCGACAGAUGAUCAAAACAGCCACAACCUUUUCUUAAGUCAAAGCCUAAUCCAGAGCAAAGCACUAACUCUAUUAAAUUCUACAAAGGAGGGAGGUGAGGAAGCUGCAGAAGAAAAGUUUGAAGCUAGCAGAGGUUGGUUUAUGAAGUUUAAAGAAACGAGCUGACUCCGUAACAUAAAAGUGCAAGGAGAAGCAGCAAGUGCUAAGAAGCUGCAGCAAGCUGUCCAGAUGUAAGUAAAAUAAUUGAUGAAGGUGGCUACACUAAACAAAUAUUUUCCAUGUAGACAGCCUUAUACUGGAAGAUGAUGUCAUCUAGGACUUUCAUAG